rnacentral:sRNA from 1 species
UUUGGAUGAUGAGAAGAAGAAAGCGAUUUAA